rnacentral:rRNA from 1 species
CCUACGGGAGGCAGCAGUGGGGAAUUUUGGACAAUGGGCGAAAGCCUGAUCCAGCAAUGCCGCGUGAGUGAAGAAGGCCUUCGGGUUGUAAAGCUCUUUUGUCAGGGAAGAAACGGUGAGAGCUAAUAUCUCUUGCUAAUGACGGUACCUGAAGAAUAAGCACCGGCUAACUACGUGCCAGCAGCCGCGGUAAUACGUAGGGUGCAAGCGUUAAUCGGAAUUACUGGGCGUAAAGCGCGCGCAGGCGGUUUUGUAAGUCUGAUGUGAAAUCCCCGGGCUCAACCUGGGAAUUGCAUUGGAGACUGCAAGGCUAGAAUCUGGCAGAGGGGGGUAGAAUUCCACGUGUAGCAGUGAAAUGCGUAGAUAUGUGGAGGAACACCGAUGGCGAAGGCAGCCCCCUGGGUCAAGAUUGACGCUCAUGCACGAAAGCGUGGGGAGCAAACAGGAUUAGAUACCCUGGUAGUCCACGCCCUAAACGAUGUCUACUAGUUGUCGGGUCUUAAUUGACUUGGUAGCGCAGCUACGCGUGAGUAGACCGCCGNGGGAGGUACGGUCGCGAGAGUUAAACGUACGAAAGAAGUAGUAGACGACGAGAGAGCGACGGACGGACGACGACGGAGGGAGGAG